UCAAAUGAGGGAGACGCAAGUCCAAAAUAAUUUGUUAUAUUUUAUUUAUUUAUUUAUUUUAUUUAUUUAAUUAAUUAAUUAAUUAAAUAAUUAAAUAAUUUUUUUUCUUUUUUCUUUUUUCUUUUUUUUUUCAUUUUUUUUUUUCGUUUUUUUUUUUCAGGAAAAAUGAAGGGUAAAUUUUGGGGUAUUACAAAUAUCAAUGGAACUUGGGUGUCGAUAAG
rnacentral:lncRNA from 1 species